AUGGUUAUAACGCUGUGGUCAUUAUGGUAUGCUAGGAGGAAGGCUAUAUAUGAAUUGAUUUUUCAGAGCCCUCAACAAACAGCGUCCUUUAUUAAUAACUACAUUGAUGAGCUGGGCCAAGUGAACGCCAAGGGAGUGCAGGAAGGUACUCCUAGUGUUGCACCACCACGACCGAAGCGGUGGCUUCGCCCACCGAGUGGCAAUGCGAAGAUUAAUGUUGAUGGGGCUGUGGUGAGAACACGGAGAGGUGGAGCUAUUGCAUCUCUAUGCCGUGACCAAGACGGACAAUACUUGGGGUCAUCGGCUGUGGUUUACUAUGGGAUCACUGAUCCCUUAACGUUGGAGACUUAUGCAUGCCGCGAGGCCCUUGCUUUGGCAGACGAUCUGGGAGAGCAGAAGGUCUGCGUGUCCUCGGACUGCCAAGAGGCGAUGAAUGACAUAAAUAGGGGAACAGGAGGCCCUAAUGCUGUGUUGGUACGUGAAAUAAUGAAUCGCUGUAAUAGUUUUAUUUCUUGCUCUUUUGUUUUCGAGCGUAGUGUCAUGGAAUUGUCACGGCAGAUGUCCUUAGUGUCAGGACUUAGUAGCGAGGCCAACGCAUCUAUGUGGUAG
rnacentral:rRNA from 1 species